rnacentral:lncRNA from 10 species
GUUUUAUAACCUCUUCACCUAAAGUCACAGACUCAUUAGAGACACCAUGUUCCUUUUACGUUAUUUAAGAUGCUGCUAUGUUUGGACAUCACUUAAACUUCUGUCAUGUUAUUGCUUUUGGAUUUGUAACAAACAUGAUAAAAGGCCCAGCGAGAUGAAUAACAUACAAGGGUUUGAUGGCUAUUCACUGUGAAAGUGGACAUAUGAUAAUUAAUUGUAUGCAUCAUCUUUACUGGGCCAAAGGGAUGCCCAGAAACUUGGUAAAACAGUAUUUCUGGAUAUGUCUGUGAAGAUAUUUUCAGAAGAGAUAAGCAUUUAAAUUGGUGGACUGAGGAAAGAAGAUUGCCCUCCCAAGUGUGAGUGGACAUCAUCCAACCCCUUCAGAGCUCAAAUAGAACAAAAACACAGAGGAGGGUCGAAUUCCCUCUCUGUAUGACUGCCUGAACUGAGAUAUCAGUCUGCUCUUGCCCUUUGACUGGUACUUAUACCAGUGAUUCUCCAGGUUGUCAGGCCUUUGGACUUAGACUAGAAUUUACACUACCAGCUUUCCUGGAUCUCCAACUUCAGAUGGAAGAUUGUGAGGCUUCUCGGCCUUCAUAAUCACAUGAGUCAAUUUCUUAUAUAGUUGACCCUUGAACAUGGCUUGGAACUGUCCACAUCCACUUAUACACAUAUUAUUUUCGAACCAAAAGAAGAUUGGAAAUACGGUAUUCAAGGGAUGCAAAAACUGUGUAUUCAAAGGGACAAUUUUUUUUAAUAUAUAUGAGUUCCGCAGGAUCACUGUGGGACUUGAGUAUGUGCAGAUUUUUGUAUACUCAGGAAGUCCUGGAAUCAAUCUCCCAUGUGUAUACUGAGAGAUGAUGAUAAUACAUACCACUCUAAAUAUAUAUCCAUCAUUUCUGUUUCUCUGGAGAACCCUGACUAAUAUAGAAUGCCUGCAUAUGGAUACAGGUUCUAUUCACACCUCACCUAACCCUCAUUUUAAUAGCUGUGGACAUUUUUGAGCUGUGGACGUUUUUGGUAUAACUUUAAGGAAUUGAAACUGUUACUGACUGGAAGAAUCUUUAGAGAUUUUAUGAGGGACACAUGCAUUCAAAUUAUUCACUCAGAUUUAUAAGCAAUAAUAUUAGAAUUUUUCCACUCCUGCAGAAACCCUUCCCUUUUCUACACCAUGGCAAUGAGAAUAAUGAAAGGGUCAAUAAUAGGAUAGCUUGAUGCUGACUUGUCCAAGAGACUUGGUUUUUCUAUGUGAUUUUCCAAAGUUUUUACCACCAUCAGCAAAUUAGUCUUUAUGCUUUAAGGAAGCAAAUUUCCUUAAAUUUAUUUAUCAUUAGUAUUGUUUCCCUUGAGGGAGUUUGGGAGAGAGUGUUUUAAAUAACAGUGCAUUCUGAAGCAAUCAAUUACUUAAUUAAAUCCAAAGGAAAAUCACAAGGUAAUUUUCUAUGGAAAUCUAUGUCCAUCCAGUGUCGUUCCAAAGAGAGGAAGAUUCUAAAUUUAAAAGUGCUUAUUUAUUAUAAGUAUCUGUCUUUUGUAUGCUGCUUAGUAUUAGUCCUCAAUAGAUAGAUGUGAGCCAGUCCAAAAUUAGAAAAGCUGGGACAAAAUUAAGAUCUAGCAGCAAGAUACCUUGUAAUUAGAACUGAGCAGAUUAUGAAAAAACUUUAGCCUAGGACAUAAAUAAAGAUAUAAAACUUCAGAUAGGCUGAAGUAGGAGAAGAAAGGUUAUAGAAGCAUAAAAAAGUUUAGACCACAAAUAUACAUUGAAUUGUGUACCAGGAAUUAACUGGCACAGCAGCAAGUGUGGGGUUAGAUUCAAUUCAGGGAGUCAGAAAUUAGACUAGAUCAUAUGAAGUUAUAGACAGAUGAGAGAGAGAGAGAGAAACAAAAUUCUGCUAGGUCCAAGCAGAAUUCUUUUGGACUUCUGUAGCUGUUAAAUAUUCAUCUUGUUUCACUUUAGACACCAUUGUUACUCUCCCUAUCUCCUCUCAUUGUUGUAAUAAUACAUAUACAAGUAUAUACUGAUAUAAAAUAUGCACAGACCUUACUUAGAGACACGAAGUAGUUCUUGAUACUAACCUGUGCCCUUUCUGUAUUUCCUUUCUAAUAGAAUUCAAGCUCUCUGAAGGUAACGAUUUUGUCCGAUUACCUCACUACUGAAUCCUCAGUGCCUAGUGUAAUCAAUGUCUUGCAUAAAGCUGAGUGAAUUAAUUUAUACAAAAGCAAUUCUAUUUUCUUUCUUUACAAUGUCAUGUCAUUACUCAAAGCAGUCCUCAAGAAACCACCAUCUAAUAAACUGCCAAAACCUUGGAGUAGCUGAGUUGAUAGUACAAAAUACACCUGCCAUUUAUUCCCCAUCAUACUUUGAUCAUGGCUGUUGAUCUCGGUUAUCCUCAGAAGCUUCACCUCCCUGGUCAUCAUCAUUACCUAGAUUUAUAAAACUCCACUUCCUUUGCCAUUCCAUACAUCUGCCACAUGCUAUGAAACUUGAGUUAUAUUUUCCAGUAAAAUAAAAAUAUCCUUGUCUUCAUUAACUUUUCCUUAAAAACACCACUUUCUUUGCAGGCCUUUCAAAUUCAAGCUCUUUUAUUCUAUCAGGCACUGUAUUUCUCAAAGGCCAAAAAGUGGCAUUAGUGACAUUCUUGCUACCAGUUUCCACUUCAAGAAUAUCACUGUCAUCUCCUGACAAAUUUCCUUAAAGGCUUGCUGGUCUCGUGAAGGGCCUGACCAGGCACCUUGGUUCUGGGAACUCACUUGAGGUUUUUGUAAGUAUUUUUUCACUGAGAACAGAUCUCCUGGUUUGGGAUCAAUUUUCAGACUUACUUCCUAUUGGGACAUUCCUUAAAUGUUUAAUCAAAAGCCUUGUUUCAAGUUGACAUCAGUUCUCAUCCUACACUGUUUUUUCUUGAACUCUUGUGCUUUUGUGACCUUUUCCCCAGCAACAGAGCCUGAGUUCUGACAAUUAAUUAAUGUGGCUGCUAGUCUUCCUUAAUUUUCAAUUGCUUUUUCCAUAGUAACAACCCAAUCAUUGCCAUGGUCAGCAUGUAUAGAGAUUGUUUCACCUAAAAGGAGUCUCCUAGUUUGGAUCAAGGAGUUGACAACAGCAUAUUCUAAAAUAAAAUUCGAACUUCCUAGCAAAGCUAAUUAAACUGCUGAAAUGUGUUAGAGUUUAUUUACUAUAACAAUGUUUAUGAAUUCAAGAUGGUCUAGAAAUGGAUAUCAUUGACUAAAAGAGAGAUGAUUCGAUUUAAGUAUUUUCAAGUAAUUAUAUUAUAAAAAACAAUAUAUUCAUUAUUCUAAUCUUAUCAUACCUUAUUUUAUUCUGUAUUUGUUGAUCAGAUUCUAGUGGAGUUCAGAGUCAUUGAAAUGAAGGCCAAUUUUUGUUGUAAAAUAUUAUGUCUUGUAAAUUUAGAAAGUGUUCAGAUGGGGCUAAAUAAAAUU